UGCGUUUUUCAGCGGUUUUCGGAAGUUAUAGGAAAUAUUUUGUGGCCGAUAUUGUCAGGGAAUUCUAGGAAGUAGUUUGAAACCAAAAACCACAAUCUCUUCAAAGAAACAAUCCGAAACUUGCCUUUUUUAAUGGCGUCAAGGUUACGGGUAUUGGUACAAAGCUGUUAUUCACCGCUUGCUCUCUGUAAUGAUAGCAAUACACAAGUGUGACUGUGGGAAUGUCUGCUUGAAGGUAAUAGGAAUGUUACCAUUUUUAAUUAGAAAUUCAUGACGUAUUCUUGUCACAAUAACCACUUGCUGUCACCUAAAACCAGAAUGUAGUUAUGAUAUAUAAUAUUGUAGCAGUCGGGAUUUGCUAUGUGCAAACCACGCAGCCUGAUAUGCACCGACCCUACACUAGGUCACUAGGAUUUUCGCACGCGAAUGCGACGCCCCACAAUGCCUUCUUCCGGUUCUCCCAAUAAACACACGAGUUGUAGAGCAACGGUUCUCUUUUAAAUAAAUGAAAUGAAUGAAUAACACUUAACAGAUGAUGUGAAACUAAUAACGUAGUACGGCAUAUAAACAGUUCACAUAGGAAAAUAACAUAAGGACCAAAUUAGGCUUAAUUAACACGUUAGAGGUAAUCAAUAAAUAAUAAUACACGUACCAACUUGUUAGGCGAUCAGGCGGAAUGAAAUUCACAAUGGUGAUUACACAAUGUCCAAACAAGCAAUGUACUUUUACCUAAAUCACUGUAAAUAGCAUCACAAUAAUCACUUUUAUAUAAAGAUGUAAACUGAUUGGUACAUCACUAAUACUGCACAUAAAAAACUACUUAAUUGCUUCAGCUUAUGGCUAGUACGUGGCUAUAACGUAAUACUGUCAAACAUGGUUUCCUAAUAUCCAGACAUUACUGAUAACACCAUAGAUACCUAAACAUAUAGAUGGGAAACUGAAGACCACGUGACAAACAACUUUCAUCGUUUACAGAUUAAUUUAUGCAGUAUUUAAUCAGAUAUUGAUUUCAUAUCAUUUGCAAUAAUGUUUUCCACAUUUUGUGCAAAUUUUAUCAACUAAUAUACCAUAUAUUUAAAUAUAUCUCCAAAUAACCGGUUUAGACAGGUCACGCUUGACUGAAUCCGUGCUCGGGCAAAUAUCUGUAGUAUUAACGCUGAUGAUCGUAUGUGCCAAUACGGUAUGCUGUUACCUAUGUGUCUAAUUUUGUGAGAUAUAUAUGUUACUGAGUUUUACAUUUAUGUAUGUUACUUUUUAUGUAUGAUAUGUAUGUUACUGAGUUUUACAUUUCGCGGGUACAGGCCUUUAUUUGGUUACCUUUAGAAGAGUUUUAGUAACAUUUAGGGUUUUAAUCGUGGGCAUUCAUGGCUAACCAGGGAAGAGGGAAAGAUAAGGCAAUGGUAGCAUUUGAGAUAGUAAGUAUCACAUUUUCCUGUGUUUAUAAGAAUUGCAGCUUUGCAUUUUAUAACCCAGAAAACUUAAUAGCAUAUAGACAAGAUAGUGUUAAAGCAGAUAGUCAUUACAUACAAGAAUAUGGCUUAUAAGUUAUAUAAGGAAUAUCCUCAUUUCUGUAUACAAGCUGGAGAAUCACUAGGCAUGCCUCUACAUUUGGGCUGCACAGCUGCCUAUUAAGGUGAUAGAUGUUAUACAGUACCAACAUGUAUAUACAAAGCAGUGAUAUUGAUGAAUGAAAGAAAAUAUAAAUUUGAAUCUCAUUUUAUAACCCCUCUGUACUGGUUUACUUUUUCAGAGACACUAGAAUACAUUAAGGGUUAAUUAAUAAAGCCAUUCAGUACAGCUUGCACCAGCAAGAAUUACUGAAUUUAAACCCAGUGCUUUGUAUCAUACAAACUUAAAUUUCGAACUAUUCACAAAUUUUAUUCAAUUUAUAAAAUAGAAACCACUAAUAAGUACUAGAUCAAGUGACUUGGGUUUAUAUUUUUACAUUUUUUGAUAAUGACUAGGUCCAGGAAUAUGAUACUUUUUACAUUUUUAAUGGAAAUAAAAGUUCGGUCACAAUUUUGCAAAAUCUUUGUUUCAAAGUAAUUGUUCAUUGAAAGUAGUUGUUCACAGAUGUCUAAGCUAUUUUCGUGCCGUAAGAAGUGUUAUCACCUUAAUUUGUUUUAUCGUUUCUCGUUGCCAUAUCACAUUCACACCCAACCCAACCUGCAAAAUAUUGGAUCAGUGUUUUUUCUUAUCAUGUUUCUCAAAAAAAUAAAUCUUUGCAAUAAUGCUUCA